UACGACGGGGGCUAGCGUUGCUCGGAAUGACUGGGCGUAAAGGGCGCGUAGGCGGCUUACAUAGUCAGGCGUGAAAUUCCUGGGCUCAACCUGGGGGCUGCGUUUGAUACGUGUAGGCUUGAGUUCGGAAGAGGGUCGUGGAAUUCCCAGUGUAGAGGUGAAAUUCGUAGAUAUUGGGAAGAACACCGGUGGCGAAGGCGGCGACCUGGUCCGAAACUGACACUGAGGAGCGAAAGCCAGGGGAGCAAACGGG
rnacentral:rRNA from 1 species